GGCGAUUAAACUGUAUUCGUGUGGUCUGAGCGCCAUUCGCUUAAUAAUGUGCGCUCAGACCUGAGCUAUCUGGGGAUAUGUAGAACGUAUAUGUUUUAUGUACUCAAUGUAACUGUAGGUAAUUUUAUGUCUUUUACUGUUUGUUUUCUGCCAUGUGGUUAAUGGAGUUUUGCCUCUGUCUUUGGAGAUAAUUGAAUUACUUCUCAAUUAUCUCCAGAGCAGAGAGGAGGGAUUGUGAUGCAUUGUGGGAUGGUUGAAUUGUGUAAGUCUGUG
rnacentral:lncRNA from 1 species